ACGCAGCCUGAUCCAGCCAUGCCGCGUGAGUGAAGAAGGCCUUCGGGUUGUAAAGCUCUUUUGUCAGGGAGCAAAUCCUGUUUCUUAAUACGGAGCGGGGAUGAGAGUACCUGAAGAAUAAGGACCGGCUAACUACGUGCCAGCAGCCGCGGUAAUACGUAGGGUCCAAGCGUUAAUCGGAAUUACUGGGCGUAAAGCGUGCGCAGGUGGUUACGUAAGUCUGAUGUGAAAUCCCCGGGCUCAACCUGGGAACUGCAUUGGAGACUGCGUGGCUAGAGUGUGGCAGAGGGGGGUGGAAUUCCGCGUGUAGCAGUGAAAUGCGUAGAGAUGCGGAGGAACACCAAUGGCGAAGGCAGCCCCCUGGGUUAACACUGACACUCAUGCACGAAAGCGUGGGGAGCAAACAGGAUUAGAUACCCUGGUAGUCCACGCCCUAAACGAUGUCUACUAGUUGUUGGGGCAGCAUUGCUUUAGUAACGCAGCUAACGCGUGAAGUAGACCGCCUGGGGAGUACGGUCGCAAGAUUAAAACUCAAAGGAAUUGACGG
rnacentral:rRNA from 1 species